CCUGGACUUCUCGGAUUUGUUCCCGUAGAACCUCCGACGACCGUUCGGACUUCCGUCGAACUCUCGAACUCCCAACGUGAUCAUAGUCUUGACUCCGGCGCAACUCAAGCUGCAUGUCUUACUUUCAUCGUAGUUAAUCCUGCACAUUUAUCUUAACAUGUAGAUUAGAUAACAAAUGACAAUUGACUUCAUCAUCAAAAUCUGAGAUUCAACAAUCUCCCCCUUUUUGAUGAUGACAAUCAAUUGAUAACGGAGUUAACCUUAAC
rnacentral:lncRNA from 1 species